AAGCCACUCCUCCUCCUAUCUAUACCACUUCAGUUUCCUCCUGAAACCAUUCAGUUGGGUGGGAAACCACUAAGAGAACAGACCGUCAUGACUUACUCCAUUCCCAGUUCUGUACUUUUCUCGGAUCUCUUUGCAAUAAUUAGACUUUUUGUUUGCUGUUUCCUCACAGGUAUCGCUCUGGGGGUUCAGAUCCAUCAGUCGCCUUCUUCUCUCAUAAAGAAGGAAGGCGAUGAAGUUCAGCUAAUCUGUACCCACGACCAAAGUGACUACAGAGUGAUGCUCUGGUACCAGCGAUCACCCGGAGACACGGCUCUGAAGCUCAUCGGCUUCGGCUACACGCAGUUCAAAGACGACAGCGUGGAGGAGCCUUUCAGAAAACAUUUCAAACUGGCUGGAGAUCUGAGCGGAAACAGAAAAAAUGGUUCACUUUACAUAAAAGACCUGAACGUCCUUGAACACACGGCAACGUAUCUCUGUGCUGCUAGUGAGCCACAGUACGACAAACACCCAUCUGCUCCUGACAAAAACCUCCUCCCCUCUCCACUCUGAAAGUG